UAGGGUAAUGGCCUACCAAGGCAACGAUGAGUAGCUGGUCUGAGAGGAUGAUCAGCCACACUGGAACUGAAACACGGUCCAGACUCCUACGGGAGGCAGCAGUGGGGAAUAUUGCGCAAUGGGCGAAAGCCUGACGCAGCAACGCCGUGUGAGGGAUGAAGGCUUUCGGGUCGUAAACCUCUGUCAGAAGGGAAGAACGGGUGGUGGUCUAAUAGGCCUCCAUUUUGACGGUACCUUCAGAGGAAGCACCGGCUAACUCCGUGCCAGCAGCCGCGGUAAUACGGAGGGUGCAAGCGUUAUUCGGAAUUACUGGGCGUAAAGCGCACGUAGGCCGCUUUGUAAGUCAGGGGUGAAAUCCCACGGCUCAACCGUGGAACUGCCCUUGAAACUGCGAAGCUUGAAUCCUGGAGAGGGUGGCGGAAUUCCUGGUGUAGGAGUGAAAUCCGUAGAUAUCAGGAGGAACACCGGUGGCGAAGGCGGCCACCUGGACAGGUAUUGACGCUGAGGUGCGAAAGUGUGGGGAGCAAACAGGAUUAGAUACCCUGGUAGUCCACCCCGUAAACGAUAGAUACUAGGUGUCGGGGACUUGAUCUUCGGUGCCGUAGCUAACGCGUUAA
rnacentral:rRNA from 1 species